ACUUUCCUUGUCUUGGGGUGGUUCGGGAAACUCAAUGAACGAGAAGUGAGAGCUUCCCUGCUAACACCAUUUCAACACAUUCGCGCCACCUGGGCGGUUCCGCUCAGGAAAGGUGCAAUUUUUGGACCA